rnacentral:rRNA from 1 species
CGGGUGGAUCACUCGGCUCGUGGAUCGAUGAAGAACGCAGCAAACUGCGCGUCGAAGUGUGAACUGCAGGACACAUGAACAUCGACGUUUCUAACGCACAUUGCGGCCCA